rnacentral:ncRNA from 1 species
UGCGAUGAGUCGAGAAUGUCACGUCAUCAGCAAUGGUGAUCUGCGCAAGCAGCUCGGUGACCUUUUUGCACGGCAGGCCGUUUACUCCGUCGGAUAUACGGAGGCCUUGGCUCAAAGGAAAUGUGGAUUUU